AUUGAACGCUGGUGGCAUGCUUAACACAUGCAAGUCGAACGGUACAGGACUAGCUUGCUAGUUGCUGACGAGUGGCGGACGGGUGAGUAACGCGUAGGAAUCUGCCCAUCUGAGGGGGAUACCAGUUGGAAACGACUGUUAAUACCGCAUAGUAUCUGUGGAUUAAAGGUGGCUUUUGGGCUGUCGCAGAUGGAUGAGCCUGCGUUGGAUUAGCUAGUUGGUGGGGUAAGGGCCUACCAAGGCUACGAUCCAUAGCUGAUUUGAGAGAAUGAUCAGCCACAUUGGGACUGAGACACGGCCCAAACUCCUACGGGAGGCAGCAGUGAGGAAUAUUGGACAAUGGGGGCAACCCUGAUCCAGCAAUGCCAUGUGUGUGAAGAAGGCCUUAGGGUUGUAAAGCACUUUAGUUGGGGAAGAAAGCUUUGAGGUUAAUAGCCUUGAGGAAAAGGACGUUACCCAAAGAAUAAGCACCGGCUAACUCC
rnacentral:rRNA from 1 species